UAGGCCGGAAAUAAGACCCGAGUUCAUGCACACUUCAAUGUCCCAUGCUGAUCGUGCGGGGUAAAUACGUUUGAGAACAACUAGAGAAAGUUGUUCUCCCUCUUGGGUCUGCAAUACGUGAAUUGUGGUACACGAGUUGAGCCUGGCGCUUGAACCAUGUAAUGACUAAGUGUGAACCCUCAUUUCUCUCUGCUGACUUAACCAUAUAAAAUGUGCUGCUGUUGAAGGCUCUUUCGCUCUCUGUUCUGGCUGUAAAUCUGGAAAGAUUUGCGUGGAUCUUGACCCUGGGGGCAUCAGCCGCACGAGCUGCCAGAAUAGUAAAGACUGGCAGGACAAUACUGAUUUUGUACAAGAAAGUCUAUUCAAGCAGGUCACACUCCACAGUCCCCAG
rnacentral:sRNA from 1 species